UAGUUUACAACAGGAAUAAAUAUGUUUCCUUACAUCAGUGAAAAGAUAGAUGUAAAAACAAAAUGUCCACCUAAAUGGACAUAAAUGAAUGGGUGGGGUCUCAGGAGGUUAAAAUAACAGCAUCAGUCGAUUAACCAAAACUGACAAGGCUAAACGAAAGGCUUCUGGGGCCCUUAGAAUGAUGUAACGAUGGCGGUUCAUCAAUGAACUGAAAAGUUUCUUCCAGAAUGUAUAUUGAAAUAAACAGUAAUAAUUUAAUCAUUAAAUGAUACAUCCAUCAAUUUGACAACCAUGUAUUCUGAUCAGAUGCAAUACCACACUACUGAAAUAAGAAUUCACAUUCUCUGACAUAUGCAAAGAAAUGCAGGGCUGAUCUAGAAAUGCUGUUUUACAUCAUCAGUUGUAAACGGAUCCAACAGCAAAGUUACUUCCAGUUCAUUAAGGCAAACAGCUAUAUGAUUAAAUGUAUGAUUUUUUAAAUUCUUCUAACAAUAUUAGGUAGCUGAUGUUUGAAUGACAAAAACAAUGAUUUUGUUAACUACUAUAAAAUCAUUUCAUGAAGCAGAAUCGCAACAUUGAUUUUUAUUUUAUAUGUAUUAUAGAUCUCAUGAUGUUUUAAUGGUACAAGUGAUUCAUGUUCACAAUGUUACCACAAAGAGGCUAAUUGGGAUCUUUCUGCUUUGUGGAGUAAUAUCAAAAAAGCAAAUUGUAAUUUGAGUGGAAUUGGUUCAUGCAACUGUCAACGGUAUAACACUGUAAAUGGUGCAGAUGGGUUGCAUUAAUUGAAUACAGAAGUACUUCUCUUGUCUGCUCAUGUCAUGUCUGUAUGUCAUAAGUUCCUCCCCCAAAACCUCAGAGCAGGUCAGUGAUGCAUCUUUCUUGCUUCAGUAAGGACAUCAUGUUGAAAGGAAUGAAGUUCACCGUUUUGCUGCUCUGGGCUACGGGGCUCGUCUGCAGUAAGGAUGUCAAGCAGAGUCCCUUUGCUCUAUUGAAACAGAAUGAUGAUUCUGUAGAAUUCAACUGCAGCCAUGACAUUUCAUCUUACAAGGUGAUACUGUGGUACCAACAAAAGGAAGAUGACAGAGCCUUGAAACUUAUUGGAUAUGUCUAUUACAAGAACGUCGACAUUGAAGGUCCAUACAAGGAUCAGCCUGCAGUACGGAGGCCAGCACAGCUGCAUCAAUCCGCCACAGAAGCUUGAUUGUUUCCCGCAGGUGUAUUAUGGCAGACAAAACACAUGAUGUGAGUCAGUAAAGUUUUUCCAUAUUAUUUGUUUGUUUGU